rnacentral:rRNA from 1 species
UACAGAGGUCUCAAGCGUUGUUCGGAUUCAUUGGGCGUAAAGGGUGCGUAGGCGGCGCGGUAAGUCGGGCGUGAAAUUUCGGAGCUUAACUCCGAAACUGCAUUCGAUACUGCCGUGCUUGAGGACUGGAGAGGAGACUGGAAUUUACGGUGUAGCAGUGAAAUGCGUAGAGAUCGUAAGGAAGACCAGUGGCGAAGGCGGGUCUCUGGACAGUUCCUGACACUGAGGCACGAAGGCCAGGGGAGCAAACGGG